rnacentral:rRNA from 1 species
AGAGUUUGAUCUUGGCUCAGGAUGAACGCUAGCUACAGGCUUAACACAUGCAAGUCGAGGGGCAGCAUGAAGUUUGCUUGCAAACUUUGAUGGCGACCGGCGCACGGGUGAGUAACGCGUAUCCAACCUUCCCCAUAGUAGGGAAUAGCCCGGCGAAAGUCGGAUUAAUUCCCUAUGUUCUUGACAGCAGACAUCUAACGUCAAGCAAAGAUUCAUCGCUAUGGGAUGGGGAUGCGUCUGAUUAGGUUGUCGGCGGGGUAACGGCCCACCGAGCCUGCGAUCAGUAGGGGUUCUGAGAGGAAGGUCCCCCACAUUGGAACUGAGACACGGUCCAAACUCC